rnacentral:rRNA from 1 species
UACGUAGGGUGCGAGCGUUGUCCGGAAUUAUUGGGCGUAAAGAGCUUGUAGGCGGUUUGUCGCGUCUGCUGUGAAAAUCCGGGGCUCAACCUCCAGCCUGCAGUGGGUACGGGCAGACUAGAGUGCGGUAGGGGAGAUUGGAAUUCCUGGUGUAGCGGUGGAAUGCGCAGAUAUCAGGAGGAACACCGAUGGCGAAGGCAGAUCUCUGGGCCGUGAACUGACGCUGAGGAGCGAAAGCGUGGGGAGCGAACAGG